rnacentral:rRNA from 1 species
AGUGAACGCUGGCGGUAGGCCUAACACAUGCAAGUCGAACGGCAGCACAGAGGAGCUUGCUCCUUGGGUGGCGAGUGGCGGACGGGUGAGGAAUACAUCGGAAUCUACUCUUUCGUGGGGGAUAACGUAGGGAAACUUACGCUAAUACCGCAUACGACCUCCGGGUGAAAGCAGGGGAUCGCAAGACCUUGCGCGAUUGAAUGAGCCGAUGUCGGAUUAGCUAGUUGGCGGGGUAAAGGCCCACCAAGGCGACGAUCCGUAGCUGGUCUGGAAGGAUGAACAGCCACACUGGAACUGGGACACGGUCCAGACUCCGACGGGAGGCAGCAGUGGGGAAUAUUGGACAAUGGGCGCAAGCCUGAUCCAGCCAUACCGCGUGGGUGAAGAAGGCCUUCGGGUUGUAAAGCCCUUUUGUUGGGAAAGAAAAGCACACGGUUAAUACCCGAGUGUUCUGACGGUACCCAAAGAAUAAGCACCGGCUAACUUCGUGCCAGCCGCCGCCGUAAGAC